rnacentral:rRNA from 1 species
UACGGAGGAUGCAAGCGUUAUCCGGAAUGAUUGGGCGUAAAGCGUCCGCAGGUGGCGAUGUAAGUCUGCUGUUAAAGCGUGAGGCUCAACCUCAUAAGAGCAGUGGAAACUACAUAGCUAGAGUACGUUCGGGGCAGAGGGAAUUCCUGGUGUAGCGGUGAAAUGCGUAGAGAUCAGGAAGAACACCAGUGGCGAAGGCGCUCUGCUAGGCCGUAACUGACACUGAGGGACGAAAGCUAGGGGAGCGAAUGGG